rnacentral:rRNA from 1 species
ACAAUGGCAGGUACAGCGGGAAGCCACCUGGCGACAGGGCGCGGAACCCGAAAACCUGUCUCAGUUCGGAUUGGAGUCUGCAACCCGACUCCGUGAAGCUGGAUUCGCUAGUAAUCGCGCAUCAGCCAUGGCGCGGUGAAUACGUUCCCGGGCCUUGUACACACCGCCCGUCAAGCCAUGGAAGCCGGGGGCGCUUGAAGUGCGUUGCCGCAAGGCGCGCCCUAGAGCGAAACCGGUGACUGGGGCUAAGUCGUAACAAGGUAAC